rnacentral:rRNA from 1 species
GACGGAGGGUGCUAGCGUUGUUCGGAAUUACUGGGCGUAAAGGGCGCGUAGGCGGCCCUGUCAGUCGGGUGUGAAAGCCCGGGGCUCAACCCCGGAACGGCACCCGAGACGGCAGGGCUGGAGACCGGGAGAGGAGGGUGGAAUAGCCAGUGUAGAGGUGAAAUUCGUAGAUAUUGGCUGGAACACCGGUGGCGAAAGCGGCUCUCUGGCCCGGUUCUGACGCUGAGGCGCGAAAGCGUGGGGAGCAAACAG